GGCUUUGAAAGUCAUGGGUUUUAUGAAUUGUUUUUUAAUGCAUGCCUACUUUAAAGUGUUAAUAGCUUGCAUGUGUAUUCAAAUGUUCAUACUUGUUCUUAGCUAGGACAAAUUUUUUCCUUCAAGCCUACCACGGUGGAAGGCCACGAAAGAGUGUGCAAAGCACUCUCACGCUUAUCAACUUAAUAAUGGUUUGGUUGAGGGUUUUAGGUCUCAUCACAUAUAAGCAUGCAUUUUAAUCUUAUUAAAACGAUUUGGUCCUAUUACAACUAUUGGUCCAUGUGAUUGAUUUAGUU
rnacentral:lncRNA from 1 species